ACAUGGAUCCUUAAGUCCUCCCUAUGCCCCGUUAGAGCACUGAUGACAUUUACUUUGAAAUUCCCCUGUUACAUGUCUGUUUGCCUAAGUAGACUCUAAGCAUCUGCAGAACAGGGGCUAUGUCUUAGUAUCCAGGGUAUUUUCUUCACCUGGCACAAUUCCUGCCACAGAGUAGUGUGUCAGCUCUCUAUUGUUGUCUAAAAACCCACCUCAAGGUGCUGGGAUUACAGGUGUGAGCCACUGUGCCUGGCCCCACAUUUUUUAAAACAAUGACUUUAGGGUUUCAGCUUUUCCUGUCUUUUAAAACAAAUUAGCCAUUUUUUAUUCUAAGAAAGGGUUGUAUUAUAAAGCUGACCUACUACUAGCUUAUCAGAAAAAACACGUGGGUCUCAUAUCUGAUUCUCCUAUGUAGCCAAAAGUGCCAUUUGUAAGUCUACUAAAUGACGGAUAUUUUCUGAAGAUCUUUUGCCUGGAAAACAAAUAGUGCAUUAAAAAGCUUUUUUGG
rnacentral:lncRNA from 1 species